rnacentral:tmRNA from 1 species
GGGCUUUUCAUCGGCGUCCGCGUCUCUAUAUAGGAACUCGCCGGGUUCGCCCGGCUAUGGCGAUAAAUUGCGGCGUGCAAUAGAUGCAGCGGACCCGGGGGCAGUACCCGGCGGCUCCACCACAAGUGGUGGUGUAUCUGGACACCGUUUCUGACGGGGCCGAACCAGGAUCGACGUGUAUUGAAAAGCGCUGUUUUUGCCCGGAAUGGGACCACCGCAACGGCCCAUAUCACAAGUGCCAACGAUAACGAGGCGCUCGCGAUUGCGGCCUAACCACAUGGCCUAACGGCCUAGGUUAGAACGACAAAAGCGCGGUUGGACCGCACCGGGCAACAGAAGCGGAUUCCA